rnacentral:rRNA from 1 species
CGAAUGGGGAAACCCAGUGUGACUCGUCACACUAUCAUUAACUGAAUCCAUAGGUUAAUGAGGCGAACCGGGGGAACUGAAACAUCUAAGUACCCCGAGGAAAAGAAAUCAACCGAGAUUCCCCCAGUAGCGGCGAGCGAACGGGGAGGAGCCCAGAGCCUGAAUCAGCAUGUGUGUUAGUGGAAGCGUCUGGAAAGGCGCGCGAUACAGGGUGACAGCCCCGUACACAAAAGCGCAUGUGCUGUGAGCUCGAUGAGUAGGGCGGGACACGUGGUAUCCUGUCUGAAUAUGGGGGGACCAUCCUCCAAGGCUAAAUACUCCUGACUGACCGAUAGUGAACCAGUACCGUGAGGGAAAGGCGAAAAGAACCCCGGCGAGGGGAGUGAAAAAGAACCUGAAACCGUGUACGUACAAGCAGUGGGAGCACAGGUUUACCUGUGUGACUGCGUACCUUUUGUAUAAUGGGUCAGCGACUUAUAUUCUGUAGCAAGGUUAACCGAAUAGGGGAGCCGGAGGGAAACCGAGUCUUAAUUGGGCGUUAAGUUGCAGGGUAUAGACCCGAAACCCGGUGAUCUAGCCAUGGGCAGGUUGAAGGUUGGGUAACACUAACUGGAGGACCGAACCGACUAAUGUUGAAAAAUUAGCGGAUGACCUGUGGCUGGGGGUGAAAGGCCAAUCAAACCGGGAGAUAGCUGGUUCUCCCCGAAAGCUAUUUAGGUAGCGCCUCGUGAAUUCAUCUCCGGGGGUAGAGCACUGUUUCGGCUAGGGGGCCAUCCCGGCUUACCAACCCGAUGCAAACUGCGAAUACCGGAGAAUGUUAUCACGGGAGACACACGGCGGGUGCUAACGUCCGUCGUGAAGAGGGAAACAACCCAGACCGCCAGCUAAGGUCCCAAAGUCAUGGUUAAGUGGGAAACGAUGUGGGAAGGCCCAGACAGCCAGGAUGUUGGCUUAGAAGCAGCCAUCAUUUAAAGAAAGCGUAAUAGCUCACUGGUCGAGUCGGCCUGCGCGGAAGAUGUAACGGGGCUAAACCAUGCACCGAAGCUGCGGCAGCGACACUGUGUGUUGUUGGGUAGGGGAGCGUUCUGUAAGCCUGUGAAGGUGUGUCGUGAGGCAUGCUGGAGGUAUCAGAAGUGCGAAUGCUGACAUAAGUAACGAUAAAGCGGGUGAAAAGCCCGCUCGCCGGAAGACCAAGGGUUCCUGUCCAACGUUAAUCGGGGCAGGGUGAGUCGACCCCUAAGGCGAGGCCGAAAGGCGUAGUCGAUGGGAAACGGGUUAAUAUUCCCGUACUUGGUGUUACUGCGAAGGGGGGACGGAGAAGGCUAUGUUGGCCGGGCGACGGUUGUCCCGGUUUAAGCGUGUAGGUGUGUGUUCCAGGUAAAUCCGGUUCACUUUAACACUGAGGCGUGACGACGAGGCACUACGGUGCUGAAGCAACAAAUGCCCUGCUUCCAGGAAAAGCCUCUAAGCAUCAGGUAACAUCAAAUCGUACCCCAAACCGACACAGGUGGUCAGGUAGAGAAUACCAAGGCGCUUGAGAGAACUCGGGUGAAGGAACUAGGCAAAAUGGUGCCGUAACUUCGGGAGAAGGCACGCUGACACGUAGGUGAAGUGAUUUACUCAUGGAGCUGAAGUCAGUCGAAGAUACCAGCUGGCUGCAACUGUUUAUUAAAAACACAGCACUGUGCAAACACGAAAGUGGACGUAUACGGUGUGACGCCUGCCCGGUGCCGGAAGGUUAAUUGAUGGGGUCAGCGCAAGCGAAGCUCCUGAUCGAAGCCCCGGUAAACGGCGGCCGUAACUAUAACGGUCCUAAGGUAGCGAAAUUCCUUGUCGGGUAAGUUCCGACCUGCACGAAUGGCGUAAUGAUGGCCAGGCUGUCUCCACCCGAGACUCAGUGAAAUUGAACUCGCUGUGAAGAUGCAGUGUACCCGCGGCAAGACGGAAAGACCCCGUGAACCUUUACUAUAGCUUGACACUGAACAUUGAGCCUUGAUGUGUAGGAUAGGUGGGAGGCUUUGAAGUGUGGACGCCAGUCUGCAUGGAGCCGACCUUGAAAUACCACCCUUUAAUGUUUGAUGUUCUAACGUGGACCCGUUACCCGGGUUGCGGACAGUGUCUGGUGGGUAGUUUGACUGGGGCGGUCUCCUCCUAAAGAGUAACGGAGGAGCACGAAGGUUGGCUAAUCCUGGUCGGACAUCAGGAGGUUAGUGCAAUGGCAUAAGCCAGCUUGACUGCGAGCGUGACGGCGCGAGCAGGUGCGAAAGCAGGUCAUAGUGAUCCGGUGGUUCUGAAUGGAAGGGCCAUCGCUCAACGGAUAAAAGGUACUCCGGGGAUAACAGGCUGAUACCGCCCAAGAGUUCAUAUCGACGGCGGUGUUUGGCACCUCGAUGUCGGCUCAUCACAUCCUGGGGCUGAAGUAGGUCCCAAGGGUAUGGCUGUUCGCCAUUUAAAGUGGUACGCGAGCUGGGUUUAGAACGUCGUGAGACAGUUCGGUCCCUAUCUGCCGUGGGCGCUGGAGAACUGAGGGGGGCUGCUCCUAGUACGAGAGGACCGGAGUGGACGCAUCACUGGUGUUCGGGUUGUCAUGCCAAUGGCACUGCCCGGUAGCUAAAUGCGGAAGAGAUAAGUGCUGAAAGCAUCUAAGCACGAAACUUGCCCCGAG